rnacentral:rRNA from 1 species
AUUGAACGCUGGCGGCAGGCCUAACACAUGCAAGUCGAGCGGAUGAAGGGAGCUUGCUCCUGGAUUCAGCGGCGGACGGGUGAGUAAUGCCUAUGAAUCUGCCUGGUAGUGGGUGAUAACGUCCGGAAACGGGCGCUAAUACCGCAUACGUCCUGAGGGAGAAAGUGGGGGAUCUUCGGACCUCACGCUAUCAGAUGAGCCUAGGUCGGAUUAGCUAGUUGGUGGGGUAAAGGCCUACCUAGGCGACGAUCCGUAACUGGUCUGAGAGGAUGAUCAGUCACACUGGAACUGAGACACGGUCCAGACUCCUACGGGAGGCAGCAGUGGGGAAUAUUGGACAAUGGGCGAAAGCCUGAUCCAGCCAUGCCGCGUGUGUGAAGAAGGUCUUCGGAUUGUAAAGCACUUUAAGUUGGGAGGAAGGGCAGUAAGUUAAUACCUUGCUGUUUUGACGUUACCAACAGAAUAAGCACCGGCUAACUUCGUG